ACACUCCUGCGGGAGGCAGCAGUAGGGAAUCUUCCACAAUGGGUGCAAACCUGAUGGAGCAAUGCCGCGUGAGUGAAGAAGGUCUUCGGAUCGUAAAGCUCUGUUGUUAGAGAAGAACACGUGCUAGGUAACUACUAGCGCCUUGACGGUAUCUAACCAGAAAGUCACGGCUAACUACGUGCCAGCAGCCGCGGUAAUACGUAGGUGACAAGCGUUGUCCGGAUUUAUUGGGCGUAAAGGGAGCGCAGGCGGUCUGUUUAGUCUAAUGUGAAAGCCCACGGCUUAACCGUGGAACGGCAUUGGAAACUGACAGACUUGAAUGUAGAAGAGGAAAAUGGAAUUCCAAGUGUAGCGGUGGAAUGCGUAGAUAUUUGGAGGAACACCAGUGGCGAAGGCGAUUUUCUGGUCUAACAUUGACGCUGAGGCUCGAAAGCGUGGGGAGCGAACAGGAUUAGAAACCCCGGUAGUCCCAUG
rnacentral:rRNA from 1 species